UUAAUCGGAAUUACUGGGCGUAAAGCGUGCGCAGGCGGCUUUGCAAGACAGAUGUGAAAUCCCCGGGCUUAACCUGGGAACUGCAUUUGUGACUGCAUGGCUAGAGUGCGGCAGAGGGGGAUGGAAUUCCGCGUGUAGCAGUGAAAUGCGUAGAUAUGCGGAGGAACACCGAUGGCGAAGGCAAUCCCCUGGGCCUGCACUGACGCUCAUGCACGAAAGCGUGGUGAGCAAACAGG
rnacentral:rRNA from 1 species